rnacentral:rRNA from 1 species
GUGCCAGCAGCCGCGGUAAUACGGAGGGGGCGAGCGUUGUUCGGAGUCACUGGGCGUAAAGCGCACGUAGGCGGUGCGGUAAGUCUGGGGUCAAAGGCUACGGCUCAACCGUAGUAAGGCCUCAGAUACUAUCGUGCUAGAGUGCCGGAGAGGGUAGCGGAAUUCCCUGUGUAGCGGUGAAAUGCGUAGAUAUAGGGAGGAACACCGGUUGCGAAGGCGGCUACCUGGCCGGUAACUGACGCUGAGGUGCGAGAGCGUGGGGAGCAAACAGGAUUAGAUACCCUGGUAGUCCACGCUGUAAACGAUGGGCGCUAGGUGUUGGUGGUUAGUAGCCAUCAGUGCCGAAGCUAACGCGUUAAGCGCCCCGCCUGGGGAGUACGCUCGCAAGAGUGAAACUCAAAUGAAUUGACGGGG